UGGGGAAUAUUGGACAAUGGGCGCAAGCCUGAUCCAGCCAUGCCGCGUGGAUGAUGAAGGCCCUAGGGUUGUAAAGUCCUUUCGACGGGGAAGAUAAUGACGGUACCCGUAGAAGAAGCCCCGGCUAACUUCGUGCCAGCAGCCGCGGUAAUACGAAGGGGGCUAGCGUUGCUCGGAAUCACUGGGCGUAAAGCGCACGUAGGCGGACUCUUAAGUCGGUGGUGAAAUCCUGGAGCUCAACUCCAGAACUGCCUUCGAUACUGAGAGUCUCGAGUCCGAGAGAGGUGAGUGGAACUGCGAGUGUAGAGGUGAAAUUCGUAGAUAUUCGCAAGAACACCAGUGGCGAAGGCGGCUCACUGGCUCGGUACUGACGCUGAGGUGCGAAAGCGUGGGGAGCAAACAGGAUUAGAUACCCUUGUAGUCCCUGAGCGGGCUGGCAAGGCGCAU
rnacentral:rRNA from 1 species